rnacentral:lncRNA from 1 species
GUGAAGGAAAACACAAAAACCAUACUGAUACCAAUGGUUAACUUUACUCUUUAAGAGGAAGGUUAAAAGAAAAGCAACCCCUUCAGAAUUGUCCCCUCAGUAAAACUGUUUGGACCUGGGAAUAUUUCUAAAAAGUUUCACAUGUGGUAUAUCAAACCACAAACAAGUUAAAAUUUUCUAUAGGUUGGAUCAGCCAUGUCCCAGAAACACUGGUUCUCCAAUUUGGAAAUUGUUUUAUAUCAAGACUCAGUCUUAUAUAAUUCUUUAUAAUAGUUAGAACAAGAGAAAACCUGGUAUUAACUAAGAUUGCUAGACUGGAAAUAACAGUUAAAAAACAAAACAAAACCUGUUCAUGUGAAUUACACACUGAUAUUAAAAAGGCAGUAGUAACUUUAGUAAUUAUUAAGAGUGACAUGUGCCAGAGGCCUGUUCAAAGCCACACAGUUAACCCCUGUCAUCCUCAAAAAUAUCUAGAAACUUAAGAUUUGUUUUUACUGUUGGCAUCCUAGUGUCUAGAACAGUGCCUGGAGAUCUAUUAGACACACAAGAAUUUAUUGUUAAUAUAUAACAAAUACCCAUCUAAUAAAGACACAUGGAUAAAUCUGCUUAGAGCUAGAAUUCUAAUUGAAGCAUUUCUCCUCAGUGGUCACUCUCUACCAUUAUGUUAUUGCCUCUCUAGAGUUUUAAAAUCACCAUUAAAGUAGUGUCAGCAGAGGGUAUUACCUUAUUAAUCCGUUUCAGCACCAUAGUCUGUACUUUUCAUCUGGCUCCUCAGUGUCUCCGGGUGUGCUCACAGGUCACAGGCGCCUCUUCACUACUGCCACGUAUCAGUCUGCCAUCGCCACCAUUGCGAGCAAAGGAUGAAUCCAGAACCCAGAUUUUUGAUUCCCAACUUACUAUAGUUAUGAGAAUAUUUAUUUAAACACCAGAACCUAAUAAAACCUAUUCAGUA